CAGUCGCCACGGGAAUACGUAGGGUGCAAGCGUUAAUCGGAAUUACUGGGCGUAAAGCGUGCGCAGGCGGUUCGGAAAGAAAGAUGUGAAAUCCCAGGGCUCAACCUUGGAACUGCAUUUUUAACUACCGGACUAGAGUAUGUCAGAGGGAGGUGGAAUUCCACGUGUAGCAGUGAAAUGCGUAGAUAUGUGGAGGAACACCGACGGCGAAGGCAGCCUCCUGGGAUAAUACUGACGCUCAUGCACGAAAGCGUGGGGAGCAAACAGGAUUAGAGACCCGUGUAGUCCCUGUCUCUUAUAC
rnacentral:rRNA from 1 species